UACAGAGGGUGCGAGCGUUGUCCGGAAUUACUGGGCGUAAAGCGCGCGUAGGCGGCUUUGUAAGUUAGAGGUGAAAGCCCGGGGCUCAACCCCGGAAUUGCCUUUAAGACUGCAUCGCUAGAAUCAUGGAGAGGUUAGUGGAAUUCCGAGUGUAGAGGUGAAAUUCGUAGAUAUUCGGAAGAACACCAGUGGCGAAGGCGACUAACUGGACAUGUAUUGACGCUGAGGUGCGAAAGCGUGGGGAGCAAACAGG
rnacentral:rRNA from 1 species